GCCCCCGGCGUCCGCGGAGGAGCAGUUAACCUGACGGUACCUGCCCCGGGCCCGGUGCGGGGGAGGGGAGGCCGGCGGGCUGGCACGGUGCUGAGGAAGACACGAGGUUCCUGCGUAGGGAGAGCCGAGGUUGCCACCGCAGGCCUGGCAUGACCGGGGCCUUGAUGCCCCGCCCGGCCCGGCCCGGCCCCGCGCGCGCAGGUACCUGGAGACGAUUUCAACUGAAGUAAUGAAGGCAGUGUCGUGCUGUCGAGAGAAAGGUGGAUCCCAACAACAGGAAACUACCUAAAUCACCGACCAGUUCUGGUGCUGCCCGCGCGGGGCUGCCUCGCCCGCCGCCGCCGCCGCCGCCACUGCUGCCGCCGCGGUCGCCGCCAACGAGAGAACCCUGCGAUCGUGCCCGGCCCGGCCCCCUGGCAACCUGUGCCCGCCGCUGCCCCCGAGUGCCCCAGGCCUCCGCAAACCCGUCGGGAAGGGAGAAGCCACGGGUCCCCAGGAAGCCAAAGUCAAGCCCUAGUGCCAACCUGCAUAUCCAUGCCUGCAUGCCCUUCUCUCGGCCAAGGAAGAAAGGAAGAAAGAAAAAAAGAAGCCCAGGGGCCUGUAUCCCCUGAUUAAACACAGCCCAACACUCCAGGCAGGCAUGCCCGGUGGCGGCUCCUUGCACCAUUGACCUCAGGCCAGACACCUCUGCGCCGACAAUGGGAUCUCGGCCUUCCCGCUAGGUUUGCCCAGGGCUGGGCAGGAAACCAGCUCUGUAGAGGAGGACAGGGGCCAUUUCAAGCAGUGGGACCCCGAGACAGCAAACCUAAUCCAUUCAGGACUUGACACUUAGGACAAUAUCUACCUCUAUAGAAUUUUAGCGCGAUAUGGCUUUUUCCCCCAGAAAA